rnacentral:rRNA from 1 species
UACGUAGGGCGCGAGCGUUUGUCCGGAAUUAUUGGGCGUAAAGAGCUCGUAGGCGGCCUGUUGCGUCCGCUGUGAAAUCCCAGGGCUUAACCCUGGGCGUGCAGUGGAUACGGGCAGGCUGGAGGCAGGCAGGGGAGAACGGAAUUCCCGGUGUAGCGGUGAAAUGCGCAGAUAUCGGGAGGAACACCGGUGGCGAAGGCGGGUCUCUGGGCCGAUACUGACGCUGAGGAGCGAAAGCGUGGGGAGCGAACAGG